rnacentral:rRNA from 1 species
GAUGAACGCUAGCUACAGGCUUAACACAUGCAAGUCGAGGGGUAACAAGAGGAAAGCUUGCUUUUCUUGUUGACGACCGGCGCACGGGUGAGUAACGCGUAUCCAACCUGCCUAUAACUAGGGAAUAACCUUGCGAAAGUAAGACUAAUACCCUAUGAUUUCCUUUGAUGACAUCAGAUUAGGAAUAAAGAUUUAUCGGUUAUAGAUGGGGAUGCGUCUGAUUAGCUUGUUGGCGGGGUAACGGCACACCAAGGCAAAGAUCAGUAGGGGUUCUGAGAGGAAGGUCCCCCAAAUUGGAACUGAGACACGGUCCAAACUCCUACGGGAGGCAGCAGUGAGGAAUAUUGGUAAAUGGGCGGAAGCCUGAACCAGCCAAGUAGCGUGCAGGAUGACGGCCCUAUGGGUUGUAAACUGCUUUUAUACAGGAAUAAAGUUAGCCACGUGUGGUUAUUUGUAGGUACUGUAUGAAUAAGGACCGGCUAAUUCCGUGCCAGCCGCCGCCGUAA